GAUGAACGCUGGCGGCGUGCCUAAUACAUGCAAGUCGAGCGAAUGGAUCGAGAGCUUGCUCUUAUGAAGUUAGCGGCGGACGGGUGAGUAACACGUGGGUAACCUGCCCAUAAGACUGGGAUAACUCCGGGAAACCGGGGCUAAUACCGGAUAACAUUUUGAACCGCAUGGUUCGAAAUUGAAAGGCGGCUUCGGCUGUCACUUAUGGAUGGACCCGCGUCGCAUUAGCUAGUUGGUGAGGUAACGGCUCACCAAGGCAACGAUGCGUAGCCGACCUGAGAGGGUGAUCGGCCACACUGGGACUGAGACACGGCCCAGACUCCUACGGGAGGCAGCAGUAGGGAAUCUUCCGCAAUGGACGAAAGUCUGACGGAGCAACGCCGCGUGAGUGAUGAAGGCCUUCGGGUCGUAAAACUCUGUUGUUAGGGAAGAACAAGUGCUAGUUGAAUAAGCUGGCACCUUGACGGUACCUAACCAGAAAGCCACGGCUAACUACGUGCCAGCCGCCGCGGUAA
rnacentral:rRNA from 1 species